rnacentral:rRNA from 1 species
UACGUAGGGGGCGAGCGUUGUCCGGAAUGACUGAGCGUAAAGGGUACGUAGGCGGCUGAGUAAGUCAGGUGUGAAAUUCUAGGGCUCAACCCUAGUGAGCACUUGAAACUGCUUGGCUUGAGUCGAGGAGAGGAAGAUGGAAUUCCUGGUGUAGCGGUGAAAUGCGUAGAUAUCAGGAGGAAUACCAGUGGCGAAGGCGACCUUCUGGCCUUGGACUGACGCUGAGGUACGAAAGCGUGGGGAGCAAACAGG